UCCACUAGUUACCACAGCCACAAAGUCAAAUGUCUGUAUCGUAAAAAUUGAUGAAAACAAAACGUUAACUUUUUGGUAUUGAUUUAACGUUAGGGUUAGCAGUGGUGUGGUUAAGGUUAGGUUUAACAUUCAUAAUUAUAGAAAUAGCCUGGGUUCAUUACUUUGUGGCUGGGAUAACUAGUGACAACCCUUGAAACUGGUCGCUUUCUACUUUUACGUAAACACGUCCACUGUACGUUCAUAUCAUAGUGUAUAUUGCGUCGCUGCUUGGCUCACUGUAUUAAUUUAACCUAUUUAAUCCCAUCAGUCACAAUAGUGACCGUAAAAAACGUUUUCAGUUAUAAGGCUCUAAACAUUUUACUGAAUGAUGUGUCAAUGCAUUCCCACCAAGUAUUGAAAUAAUAAAGGGUCUCAAUGAAAUAUAUGCAGUGUCAAACGUUUAGUGUAAAUUGUCACAUGACAAGAGCUGUUCACUUCCUGGUUGCACCAUGAGAAGAGAAUGGCUGCAUCAAAGCUCCCAAACAAAAGUUUCACUUUGAGUCAAGUUCUGGAUAUGUUGGAUCUAGGUGACUGCCCAGACAAGGCACGCAAACAUUGCAGUUAUCCCUCAUAAUGAGAAAGAUGCUGUCCUCAGUGAUUGUGGUAGCGAUGGGUCAGAUAUGGACAGGCCAUUUGCCAGCCAGGCUGUUGAAUGCUGAUCCUAUACAAACAUAUCAUGACAGGAACAACGUUAUCAGUGAUGACGUCCCCCCCCAUUGUUGAUAAUGAAGAGCCAAGAUCCUCUACCCGCCCGGGAGUCCAGUCAGAAGAGCCAAGGGAAAAGCUGUGGGUGGUCAAAAAUAAAGAUUGAGAGUUAAAACGAUCGAAGAGGUCUGCCACCGAUGUGAUUCCAAACUGCAUAGUAUACAGCCCAAAUAUGCAAAAGUUUGGCACGAAACCACUGAGCCACGGAAGGAGAUCUUUACUGGCUGCUACUGUUGAAGAUCAGGCAAGAUAUGACAAAGCUUCUCACUGGCCCAUCAACACAAUGCUCCAGUUCCAGAGAUGUCGUCAUUGUGACAAACACACUACCUAUGCCUGUGAGAAAUGCAAAGCGCCACUGCAAAUUGAGUGCUUCAAGAUAUACCAUGGACAGUAGAAAAGGAGAUAAGAGUGAAUGAAUAAGGGCUGAAAAAGAAAGUCGAUAAAGGGUGAGGAGAAGCAGUACAACAGACUCUAGGAAGAAAAGUCAAAGGCAAUCAAAAUGACUGAAAUGUUUUUGGAAAAGGUCAAUUGAUUCAAGACAUACUGUGUGACAGUAGGUCUGACUGAUCGUAGUUCAAAAUAGUGAUACACAAACUAAUCGUGCACUUGGUUCUGAAGCCUACCUCUAUGAUAUAUAUAUUAUAUUAUUUUGUUCAGUGUAGGCCUCUACUUGAAUGCAUAUUCUACAGGCUACCUCUAUCCUAAAUGUUACCUUUAUGUUCAGUGGGAAUUAAUCACACGACUGCUAUACAGUUGUUAGUGAAUGUUGCACUAAAAUGUUACAAUGAAUAUUGCACUAAAGUACAAGUUCAAAUGUUAAAGUUAAAAUAUUAAUGUUUCAAUACAUGUUGCACUAAAGUAACAAUUUAUGUUACAAUAAAGUAACAAUGUUGAAAUACGUU